rnacentral:tRNA from 1 species
AUUUAUAUAGUUUAUAUAAAACAUUACAUUUUCAUUGUAAAAAUAAAAUCACUUUUUAUAAAUA